CACAAAAUUGUGGCUGAAGUCAAUAAUCAUAUUUCAUGUUCAUUUGAAUGCCUGAUUCUAUUGCUGUUUAGCUUUGCCAGCACAUUUAAUGUUCUUUGGAUGCUUCUCCAGCAAAAUCCUGCCUAUUUUGCAGUUUGCUGCUGUUGGAACAGAACAUCAGUUUGCAGCUGAGUUUCCUCGAAGCCUUUGUGUGGCCUCUGGGUAUCUUUGACUCUUCCAGAAACUUUUGGGAGGACAUAACUUCCCCUUGACUUUCCCAUCAAGGUUCUUCAGCUAAGGACUUAACAUUCAUCAGUCUAAGAGCAUCUCAAAAUAACAGCUAAUUAUCCUACCCAACAUCCUACCAGGCUGUUUUCACGUAAUCCAGCUCUUGAAUCAUCUCCUCCAAUGUGAUUUCUAAGAUGACUCAAGCUCUGACUCCCCUCACUGCACAGACUCACGCUGGAAACAGUGAUCAAGAUGUGGGCUGCAGCAUUUUAUUGGGACUUUGCUUCUGUGAUCUGCUCCUUAUACAAAGAGAGUUACGAAAACACGGGAUGUAACCCUGGAUUUCACUUUUCUGAUUGGAAGCUUUUCAGAGCUUCCCCUUUCAAUGCUUCCAACACCCCUGGGUCAAACCCUGAGUGUGGGACAUGGCCCUGCUGCCGAUCACCAGAUCAAAGAUACUGAACUGCUUAUUGCCAGAAACACAAACUUUAUACGAGUUGUACAUUUCAUGUUUGUACAUUUCAUAGUCGUACAUUUCUCACUCAUAAUAGUACAUUUCUUGCUCAUAUCUUAUUGUAUUUUUUAAUUUGAAAAGUGGUGUCUUUUAUUCCAACAGCCAUGUUGCACCAAAAAAAAAGUAUUUUUCCUUGCUAAAGGAGGAAAAUUCAGACUCAAAAUCCCUUCUGACCCACAAACUGCAGAGUGCUCUUUG